UGCAGGUAUGCUAAUAUCUGUGUAUACAGAUUGAGUGUGAAUACAACGCAAGCAAACAACAAGAAGCGAGGGCAUUCGAGAGAGGAAACAAGGUCAACUCAAUGCUUGCAUACCAAAAUUUCACUGUCACUAUUCAGGAAUUAUACAACAAGCUAACACAACUACCCACCAGAAGUCCCCAUGAUGAGACCGCAGACGUAGAACGCAGACAAAUGGAAAACUGUGCUAUAGUGAGAGACAUCUUCAGACGCAUUCAACACAUCAAAGAACCAUUUGAAAAAGUUGCUAAUGUCACAAACUGUCAAUGAUUUCCUCCAAGGGAAUGAAGAAUGAAGACAUGUACAUUGUUGUUGUCAAUGUUACGCUGCUGUACUAAAAAAGAGUUCAGAAAGGAGCGCUAACAAUUAUCCUUGAGUUGCAAAAUACAUGGUUUAGUAGUA